GCAGCUGCAAGAAAGUCUGAGAACACAAAAUUCAAAAGCCCGAAACACUGCAGUAGAGUAAGAAAUGGCACUUAUAAACUACCUAGAGUGCUGCAAACUUCUGGCAAUUAAUUUCAAUUAAGUUAUUUACAAGCGCAGAAGAAUUGAACUUUGUGAUUUGAAUAAUAAAAGUUUUCAGAAAAACAUUUUUCAUGUCAGUUCCAAACAUAGUCUCCAUCUGUAAUGAGAAUAUGAAUAAGAAGAAAAUCAUUUCUAAUUUUGGAUGAAUCUAUUUCUUAAAGAAUUCUUUAUUUUAAUUUAAGGUAAGUGCAAAUUCUUUGUUUUAAAGUUAACUGAAAUGCUAAUCUUAUGAAAGUAAACCGGCCUUCUCUUUAUAAAAAUUAAACUGUGGUUCCCAAUGUAAUGAAUUUUAUUUAUUUUUAAGGUCCAGAAAUGGACCAUAUUUUCAUCCCCUGGGCAAUUCCACAAACUUGUUAAAACUGUUAACAGCUGUACAAUAACUUAGGCUCUCAGUGAUUUCAUGUAGUUCAAAAGAACUCUAAAUUUAUCCAGGUGUGAAGGUUAUGGUAACUGCUGGGUAAAAUCAAAGAAUAUUCGGUUAGGGAUGCACUUUAAGGAUUUGAUGAAUAUAUUGUGUUCAUAAAGUCCAAGAACAAGAAAAUGUACUUCUGCUACUUAUUAAACAAACAGAUAAGUGAAUGCUUUAAAAAUUUGCCUCACAAAGCAAACAUUUCAACACCUACACUGAGAAUUAUCCAUGCCAUUAAAAUGGACGUGAUUGCUGGCAGGGUGUGAGGUGAAUAAAAGACCAGAGGCACACACACACACUGCAGGUCCGGGUGGUAAAUCUGGAAUGGAGACUGCUUUGUAGCUUCAACUCUCAGGUCAGAGAUGGAGACACACCACCCUUUGCACAAUGCUAAGCACACAGCAGUUGCAGGCUCAGCUCUGACUCUGAGUUUGCUUUUCUUUCUUCUUGGAUCCAGGGGUCCCUCUACACCUCCGGGGAGGCGCUCAUAGCUGCAGGGUGAUGCUGGAAGUAGGCAAUUUCUAGGCCUCUCCAGAGAGGCAUGGACCUGAGAUACCCUCAGAAUCAUUGUGGAGCCCACAUUUUCCCCUUUCUAGUUUGUAAUGAGGCUUGCACACAAGGGAGCGUGAAAAAUGGCGUGUGAAUGUGGUCCCCAUGUUGUGUCAGGAAAAUGUCAGUCUCACUGUUGCAUGCUUUUAUGCAAAAUGAUUCUGAAUACUUAAUCUCCACCCCAAGGAAAACUAACAGGGUACCUCUAUUAAUGAACUUCAAUUUGUUUUCAGUCCUUGGGACAUUUUUACACCCCCAUUAAAUAAAAGACAUAAUCACAAAGGAAAUUAAACUACAAAAGAAAAUAUUCCAAAUCAUGUUGUGUCUAACCUAAAUAUGUAUAAACCAAAGAAAAUACAUGACUGUGGUUUAAAUCUGUUCUUUAACCCAUCUGUUGCAUUCACAGCAUACAGUAACAUGGUAACAAUGUGUUGGGGAGAGGUUUUUUUUUUUUUUUUUUUUCAUACCAGGGAUCAAACUCACAACCUCAGGCUUACCAGGCAUGCGCUUGAGCCACUGAGCUAAAUCUCAGGCCCUGUGUUAGGGAGAUCUUUAAGCUGUCUCUGCUCAAAGCAACAUAUCUGGAAGGAGAAUAAAAUAGUCACGCAAUCAUCCCAAUAUAUUAUUCAUUUGAAGUAAAAGUUCCAAUUUUUAUACAACCGUCAGUAGUUUGGAAACAUCAGAGUUGGUAAUUUGGGGAUACUAAGAAUAUCUCUUUUAUAGGUAAAUAUAAUUUGCACUGAAUAAAGAUGAAUACAUGACUAAUGCAAGUCAUUUCUGUCAAGCAAUGGCAAUUGCUUGGAGGAGUACAACUUUUUUCCUAUUUUAAAAAUUUUAUUAAGUUUGGUUUUUAAAUAUUUGUUCUAUUAAUAUAUAUUUCCAAUGCAUGAAGUUUACAUUUAUCUUAGGGAGUAGGUACAUAUAUAUAACAUAGCUUGAUUCUUUUUUAUUCUGUCCUUCUCUGCUCACCUGUCUUCCUCUGCCUCUAUAUAAUUGUUAUUUUAUCAAGUCAGUAUUACCUGGAGACAUUAUGUAGUGGACAUAAUAUUUAUAUAGUACUUUGUUCUAAGUGUUAGCAUACUGAGUUACAGAAAGUCAGUCCUGUUUUGUACAAUUCAAUCAGUUAAUUAAGGAUCCUUCUCAUGCCUAGAAAUUCUGCUGUUCCUUUGGCAAGAAUCUUCCAGAAAUUUAUAAAUGCCCCUUUUUUUUUUUUUUUUUUUUUUUUUUUGGUCUUUUUGAGACAGGGUUUCACUAUAGAGUGCAGGGUGGGCUUAAAUUCACUUUGUAGACUAGGAUGUGUAAUUGUCUUUCAGACGUUUGUUUUUGCUGAAGUAGUGCUUUGAUGAUACCUUAAAGUUUUCUAAUGCUUGCAAAGAUUCCUUUUACAUGAAUUCUCUCAUUUAAUUGCAUUUCAGUUGUUCUCUGUAGUUUCAGAUGAGUUGAUUGUUUUGGGGUCAUUUAGCACUAAAAAUAACUAGGAAAACUACAACUAAAAUAGAAAAAAGAAAAAUUAAGUUCCUAGUUUGAGUACUUAUAUUUAUUAUUAUUAAAUUUAGCCCUGAUUCGAAGGUAUUUUUAAAAACAACAUCAAAGCAAACAGGAAUCUAACAAUUUAUUAUGAGGUACACAUGUAAGUUCAGAGUUAUUCCACAUAGAAAGAGAUCAUGAUGCUGUAUUGUAAUUGUUAUGUGCCUUAUUGGGUUAUAAUUUAGUAUAUACACAAAACCCUCAUUCAAUAGCUUUAAUGUCCUGAGAGACAACCUUUAGAGCUGCUCAAAAUUAGACUUCGGAGUUUCCUUCCCCUUAAUUAAGUAUGAAGUGCUUUCUACAGUGACAGGGCUCCCAUUAGAAGACAAGUUCAAAGAAAAUCUAACAUAGUUACCAUACACAUCUCAGGGCUUGGAGAUUAUGACAUUAGGCUAGCCUUCUGUACCUUAACAGCAGCAUGUUUAAUUCAUACAAAUCAUGCAACCCAGAAGGAAAGUUUCUUUUCUUUGUUACAUUUUUUCCCAAGUAGUCUAAUCCACAUAUAUGAAUCACACAUCACUCAGUAUUUGGAGAGACUAUUUCCCUUUGUUUAACAUGAAAUGUACUUCCCACAAAAGCCAUCCACAAAAGCUGGGUCUAAGUGGCUCACAUUUAUACAAAUACUCCAAAACAAAAAAGUGCUAGCAUGCUGUAAGCAUUUCCUAUAUUUAAAAUAUGUUCUUAAAUAGUUGUGAAGAUACUAGAAAAAACUAGCAAUGCACUUUGUGAUAAUCUUCAUAAGGCUUCCAAAGUUUCAGUGUCUUGAACCUUCUCAAAGCAGAAUGCACAAUGAUGUCUUCAAAAUGUCACUUAAAAUUUGUUCCCCUUUCUCUCUAUUCAAAAUUAGUGUAGACCUUCCAUUUUAAGUCAGCAUUUUCAAAAAAGAUCAACUGAAAUUUGAACAAGCAGAAGGAAAAAUGUUUCCACUUCUACCAGACUUAAAAGAAGUUGGGCAUCUUUUCAUAUUUUUCUUAUUAGCAUUGUAAUAGAGAACAUCUGUAAUAAUUUAGUAAAUUAAAUACAUUAAAAUGACAAAUAAAAGAAGCUAUAAUGAAUAAAAUACAGAAGACCCCCUGUGGCUGCCCGCCCCUUCCUUGGCGAGCAGUAGAGCAAACAGCUAGCGAGGGCCAUGAGCACACCAGCAGCAGUCAACCCAAGACCAAGACGGAAACUGCUCUUUGCCAGUGUGAAAACCAGCUUUCAUUUACUUCACCACCUCUGUAACAGAAUGUAACUAAUCUUAUAAUUUUUUAUUUCUGUAUGGCACUUGUGUAACAUUUUUCUUCUUCACUGCCAUUUUUCUUUUUGUGUUUCUCUCCAUCAUCAGAACUACAACUCCUACCCAAACUGUUAUCUCCUCCCUACACGAGUAAAACAGCUUUGACUUCAUGUCUUUAGUCAAGACUUAUUAUUAUACAGAUAUCAUUAGCUUUUCUCCUAAAGCUCAAGCUCAAGAACUUAGAGCCAAUGAACUGUGGAUGGCAAAUACCUAGUAUCUCUUUGGCUUAAUAAGUAUUGUCUCAAUUUAGUUUGAACAUAAUUCAAAUAUUUUUCAAAUACUCUUGAAAUGUUUUUCUUUAUGAGGCUAUUGGUUUAUCUUCCACUUCUAUUUCCUUGAUCUAUCUCUUUUUCCUUCUUUAGCUUCUUUUCUGUCUUAAGUUAUUUCACACCCUGGUUUUCCUCCAAACUUCGGUCCUUGUGCCUGCCAUUCCCCUGAUAAACUCCCCAAGGGCUGCUUUUCCGUAUCUACAAUACCAAGUGCCAUGUAUUCACAUCUCUUCACCUUUUGGCACAGACUCUGCUCUUGAAUUUCAGACUUGUACUUCUAGUUUCCUAAUAGGUGAACAUCCUGAGAGAUACAUCACAUACACCUUGAACUAACCAUGCCUCAAAACAAAUGUCCUUUCAUUUUCUUUUCAGUUCUACUUCUCUUCAUUUAAUUGUGCCUUAAUAUCCUAGUCAGAAUGUUCAGAAUCAUUUCCUCUUCGUUACUCACUUAUUCAAAUAGUCAUUACACUUAGAUGAGUCUAUGGAUGCACAGGAAACCCACCCCAUGACUACAACUUCCCAGUCUCGCCAUUUCUCAUUUGUGUGAUUGCAGUAGCUCCCUACCAGUUUUCCCUGCCUGAAGGCUAUCUCACCUUUCUUUGUUCUUAGAUCUGUAGUCUACGCUUUUGCUUCUGGUAACUAACACAUAAAACUAGUCAUACAACAUCUCUGCUAAACACCUUUCAGUGACUUUCAUCAUCCGUGAGGAAAGGCAGCAACUCUUUUUACUGAUGAUCAUAAAUGACACUUCAAGAUUUAGCUCCUUCCUACUAAUUAGAAUUAAUCUCCGCUGCCAUAGCACACUUAUUUUCACAAUCUAAGGGUCUCAAAUAUACCAUGCUGUUUCAGAUCUUCACGUUUUUGCUUGGAAUGUUUCCCUCUUGUGUGCUUUGCAAAUUCCAGCUCAGUCUUUGAAGGUAUCAUAAACAUCACACCCUAUAAAGAGCCUCUUAUGAAUAUUCUCAAUCGUGCACAUGAAGGAUGCCUCUCCAUCAGCACUGUUCUUGCUGUGUGUGAUGAUUUUUAACCUGAGGGAAUCUCAAUUAAUUCUUGAGGUCCUAAACAUGGGAAGCCUGUUUUAUUCAUCUUUUCUUCAGUGUUUUAUUCUUAUACCAUCAUAUACUGUCAAUGUCUGUCAGUGUUUAAAUGAAUUAAAAGUUGGUGGUGUUUGGUACCCUUCCCGUGCCGUUUGGACUGUAUGUAAUACCAUGCAACCAUUUUCUUAAACCCCUUAAAAGCUAACUUUCAAAGAAGAAAGAGCUGCAUAAGAAAGCAACAUUUUGAAAACCUAACACCUUUAUAACAACAAAACCAACUAAAGAAAAGUAUCUGAUCUAAUUUAAAGGAGAAACUUUGGCCUGCUGUUACUGAUGAAAUAAGAGCAAUUAAGUCUGGCUCUCUCAAGUUGUUAAUUCUUCCACUAGAAAUAUUUAGAAAAGCGUAACCAAUCAUACAGUCUGUAGGGUCAGUUCUGCCUAGUGAACAGAAUGUAGAUGGUUAUGUUUGCGUCACCAUCUGUCUUGCAAAAUCCUCUAGCAGGCCUGCGUCUACACGCACAUAGCCUAUUUUAUAAGAUCCAGUACGUGACAAUAAACACCUCGACAGUAAGUCUAGACUCCGAGGUCAUAUUCAGAAACUCAUGACUUCAACAGGGGUGGAGAUUGUGGGGGAACAGAUCCUAGAUCAGGUGAACUUUUAAAUAGAAAAUAUAUUUGUGUAUUUGUGCAAGAAAGGAACAAGGAAAGAAGCAUAUUAGCAAAACAAUGACUUAUUGCAAUUCUGGCAAGUAUUGGGACAAAGAAUUAUGAACUGAAACAAUCCAAUAGUGGAUCAUUGUAACGAUGGAUACAGUUUUCAGGAAGAAGAUUUCUACUAAUUCUUGGUUGAGAAAAGGAUAAAAAGUAACAAUAAAACUGUAGAUUAAGAUCUGUUUGCAAAAGAAAUUUCCAUCUAAAAUUUCCAUUCUUUUUUAUUUUUUGACAACUGAUAGUGUUAUGUCAAAAAAUAGAAAUAAAAAGCACAGAUCUGGUCAGACUCAAAUUAUUUCUCUCUUCAACAUAUUUUAAACUGUUCUUUCUUUCCUGGCCCCAUCCCUGUGUUUUCUCCCUUUUUACCUAUAAUGAUUGCUCCUAUCUUCCCUAAUAAUUUUUCUUUAUAUAGGGAGAAGGAUGAUAUUACCAACUCCAGAAACAAGAAAUAAUAGGCAAAAUACAACCCAAUUCAGUCAAACCACAAGUCUAACUUGAACACUAAAUGCAUAGAAAAUAAAAAAAAAAAAAAAGUAACAUUGCCUUUUGUGUUAUUUUUGAAUCUUAGGAAACCUAUAAAAAGCUAUUCCACUAAUAUUUCCACUUAAAUCCUUAAAUUACAAUUUUGAGUGCUAAUAGCAAUGGAUAAGCUAUCAUUAUAUUAUUUUUCAUCAAUUUGGAAUUUGUAAUGGAAAAAAACAAAACAAAAAGACUGACCAUUUUGGUCAAACCCAGAUUCAUUCAGCUCAGGUCUUUGUCUCUGGCAGGAGUAGUGCAAGAUGUUUUAUGGGGAAAUUUGUGGUUAAAUUUUCUAAUGUCAAACUAAAAUGCUCCCAAAUUCUCUCUUUCCUUAAUAAUCCAGUAUUAAUUUUAUUAUGCAGGAAUUAUUACUUCUACUCAUUGAUGAUUGUUUCUUGUCCUUUUGACAAAGAUCAUGUGUAGUAUCUGUUCUUCUACCCAUUGAUAUACAAUCUCAUUUUUUUCUGAUACUGAGUUUCAAGUUUUCAAUCCACCCGAUAAAGAUAUAUAUUUUCUUCUAAAUUUCCGUUUAAUGAACUUAAUAGAAAUGCUUCCAUUUUAAUAAGAUUAUCAAUAUAGUUCAUGGUUUUAAAAUAUGGGUUUUUGGACCCCUAGCCAUUAUUUUCCAUUUGUUGAUGCUUAAGUUUCUUCCUGUUUUUUUUUAGUUAUUCAUGCCAUGAACUUGACUAUCUAGCUUCUUGUGUUAAAGCAUAUAAUUAUGGUCUAGUACAAAAGAUAGCCAUUGUUAUGAACUUUUUUAGCUUGUUUUGAUUGUGGCUACAUACUGGGCUGCUGUCACCUGAUUUCUCUAACCACAGUUUUCAAGGACUUUAAAUUUCUUGCUUAACUGAUUUUACAAUGAAAACAAUGUUUUCAUUAAUAAAAAAAAUCUAGUCAAUAAAAAUCCAAAAACCUAUAAAAAUAAAAUUUAUCUGAAAAUAAUUCAAGGUUUUUAAUAUUCCUCUCACUCCAGUUUUCCUAAAAGCAAUAUAUAGCUAUGAUUCUCAAUCAAAACAUAGCCUGGGUAAAAAGAAGGGGAUAGGAGAGUUGACUUGGAAGCAUUUGCAGGUUAUCCUUAAACUGUUGUUUUUCCUCUUUUACUCCAAUAAGACUUCUACAAAGGCAGAUAGAAUUCUUGACAGGAAGAGAGAAGAGUGAAUGAUAAUCCCCUUUGCCCAUCUCUCAAAAGUCACUGCUCCCUAUUCUGUUUUGCUGGAUAGUAUCAGGUUCGAAAGUUUAGGCAUCAGCUGUGAAGAUAAUGAGAUUCAUUAUGACGCCCAUUCUCGUUGACUUUUAUCUACUUUUGAAGAUCUACAAUGUCUCCAAUGUUUUGGUUUUGUCGGUUUUAUUCUUUACUGUUUUGUUCAAUUGUAUUAUAACUAACGAUAUAGGCAAUUCUAUUAGAGAUAGCGGGAGGCAUUAUGGUAACCAUUGUUGAUCACCUUGUAUUAUGUUUUUACAUUAUCUAUUAUGUCCACCUUUUUGACUUGACCGAUUCUGUUCUGUUAUGUCACAUUUGGUUUUACUCUCUUCCAAAAAAGUAAUAAGAACCGUGGGAGCAAUGAAACCCAAAAUGUGUAAUAGUCAUUGUACAAAAGAGAGGAAAAGAAAGUGCUCUAAACUAUAUAACUGCAUGUAUAUUUAAGUGUAUAAGAUAGAAAAUGAUAUCACAGAGUUUUAUUGGAUCAUUGAACAGAACUGUUUGCAGUAUCAUUGAUGGAAUGUCCACUUUACAAGCUUUAAUUUUGUGACUUGAACAAUUAUUUCUAAGAUGACAAUAUGUAAUCCAUUAACUAGUGAUUUCCUACUGUUCAUUUUUUUUUCUGUAAAUCUGUAUAACUUGUACCCUUUCUCUGCUUUUUUUUCUUUUCUCCUUAAAUAAAAUUAAAAAAAAAAAAGAAAACAACCAAAAAAAAAAAAAGUCACUGCUCCAAUGCAGUUUUGCAAACUAUCUUUAUUUUAUGCAUCUCAUACGAUAUAAACAUUUUUCUAUACCACUGGCCAUCUAUCCAUCACUCAGAGAAAGAUGUCCAAACUGUUUUAAGUGAAAAACAAAUUACAAAGCAUAGUAUAAAAUAUGUUCUCAUUUAUAUUAAUGCAUCUGUAUUGAUGCCAUUAUGAGUAUUUAUAUAUGUGUGUAAUUUUUUUCGAAAGAUAAUUGCCUAUCUGUUAAUAGGACAUUUCUAGGGUUUAGGAGUAUUGCUGGGAGCAUUUUUAUUUUUCUGCUGCUUUGGUAAUACUGAGAAUUUUGUGUAAUAAGAGAUUAUAUUUUGUAAAAAUGAAUGUAAAUAUGAAAAAUCAUUUUAAUGACUGCAUAAAUGUUGUAUGGUUAACUACAAUAGGUAGUUCCGUUUACUUGACAAUAAAUGCAUUAUACAUGA